AUUAUUAUAGUUUAAUAAAAAUAUUAAAUUGCAAAUUUAAUGAUUAAUUUUAAAAAAAUUAUAAUAAU
rnacentral:tRNA from 1 species